UGGUGUCACGUGGUUUUACUCAUGAAAAACAUUGCAGUUACUCAAGGAAGAAAAUUCAGUUUUGUCAAACUUCCUUCCAUUCGAAAUAUUUCCACCACUCGUCGUUAUAGAACGAGAUAGUCGCAGGUGAUCACAUGAAAACCCGCAGUAAUCGGGUUCACCUUCGUACGUGUUCGCGUUUCAAAUUUGCUGAUUUAGCGUUUGAAUUAUUUAUUCGGAGGGAAAUAAGCAAGGAGAGUUCUUUGGCUCGCUUCGAAUUCGGGGGUAAUCGGCAGAAGCGAGCUCAACACUCUCCUCGUGAUCCGUCAAAUGAUCUGGGAAAAAAGGGCAAUAACACGAAAAUGAAAUUCUCCCAGUCAAGGAUCACACGCUUCAGGGGUGGAUGGUGGCUUAAUUCUGAGAGCAUAUUGGACAUUAUUAAUCCAUCCGAAGGGAUGGGGCGAAAGAUUUAUAGGACUCGGCUAUUUCAGACUGAUAAGACUUGGACGUCAGGUUGCGCAAGGUUAUAAAACGCGCUCAGGAACGUCGUAACGAGAGUUUCAAGUGCGAGAGGCCUCUCCUCAACUUCCGCCAAGCUUUGGGUAGUCUAAUUAACCAACGAAGGGAAAGAGCACGAGGCAGAGAGAGAGAGAGAGAGAGAGAGAGAGAGAGAGAGAGCGAGAGAAGGGAGAAAGCACAAAGUGGAGAGACGACGUGGCCACGAAAACGGAAAAGGGGUUUAAAGGCUUCACCAACGUAGACACCCCAGCACACACACACACACACACACACACGAGAACACUCACCUUUAUCCCGAAAAUUAAGUGAGCCUGGCCCCAGAGCCAACAACUAACCUCGAUAGCCCGCAACGUGUAUACACAGUUAUACAUUUUAGUGUGAAAUAUAUUUACAAAAUAUUAAAUCCCAGAGGAGCUUUCAACUUGUACAAAUGACACGAAACUCGUCCGGUUCGUGUUGAUGAGGAAACGAGCUGCAAAGCCUCGAUCGAAUCGCACUCUACUCCUCUACACAUUAACGUGCCAAAGUGUGUCUGUAUAUCGAUGAUUAAGAGGGGAAUCGAGGUGAAAAAAGUUUGGCAGCUUCUCGCGUCCGCAGUCGAGCCACUAUGCGGCAAACUGUUCGGGGAUGUUUAUUAGAAUUGGGGCCAGCAACAUCUUCGAGGAAUCUUCCAAUUUUUCCUUGGCACGUGAGCGAAAAAAAGGAUUUUUUCCAUAUUUUUAGAGCUUUUAAUGGAUCGUAGCCGCUCCCCUGCGGUGUACACCUGCUGAAGUAGCUUUUUACGGUGCACGACAGUUCACUUGCAUCCACUCACAGGAAACUACUGUUUCGAGUAGUUUUUUGUUUACCUUCGUACCGAGGCUCUUCAAAGGGCAGUUUUUUCGCCACAGUUGAAACUAAUUCCGGGGAAAUCAGAAGCCCAAGCGUUCCCAAAACACACAGGGAAUUGCACAGAGAGGCAAAGAAAGGGGAGAAAAGAGAGUGAAGGGCCUUAAUUAUAUAACGUGUUUCAAGCAACACCAGUCGCAACCGUGGCUAAAGCUGCUUCUCCGCUACUCUCGGCACACCGAGACGCUCCUCACUCCCCGGCGCGGCUGCAUCAGCAAAGGGGUAAACCUUGCGAGAUUCUCCUAUAAUAUAUGGAAGGGCCUAAACACCCUGAUAGGCAUUGUAUUUUCUCUCGUAUACACCGAGAUUCUCCUUUCUCGUUUGCUAACCGGAGCAUUAAUAGUCUCGACGUAUAUUCACCUAGCGUAAUUAGCUCUGGCGACCACCAAAUUUCACGAAUUAAGACAGAAUCUGCCUCACGGAUUAUCAGACGAAAAAAAUCAACGAACACUGUUAAAAUGCGGAGUGAGCUUGACAGUUCAGUGGAUCAUGAAAAAGUCAAGAGUCCAACGGUGAGCGGAUGAGAUUCCUUGCGACUGUGUACAGCUUGCGAUUCUUCAUCAUUGUUUCCGGUGGCUUUGUCAAGUGGAAUUUGAUUUUCGAGAUUUUUGGAAAAUCCCGUGACUCCGGAAGCUGGAACUCAUCGGACCAACGUUUUCGAGGCUCGAUAUGUUUCGUGCAAAGGAAAUUUUGUGAUCCGCAGAUGAAUCUUUGAGCGGGCGUUCCCACGCAGUAAGAAUGCGACUAGUCUUUAUUUACCUCUUCGGAUUCUUAGGCCCGCAGCAUAGAGAGGGUGGAAAAAUAAAGUUUCUCCUUGAUUUCCGGCUCACCGAGAGAGUAUUUUCUCGCUCCACAAACUCGCUGUAGAAUUAAGCAGUGUUAAUCGUUAGAAGAAACAAAAGCUUCACGAUCCCUCCUAUUUUUAUGAUUAUUAUUAUUAUGAUUUUGUAUCCUUUUUUCUCUAUUUCUUUAUUUUUCGAAAGUAAAAGUUGCGUGAAAUCUUUACGAUCAAAGUAGAAUACUUUUUCGUCCGUAUUGUACGACCCUCUCGACGGUUCUUUCGCUUACCAGCCCUCCCUCCUCUCUUCGCCACCAUUCUCGUGGCCCAAUGCGCGAUUACACUCUGGUGCACUCGUAAAAGCGUGAAA